GGAUUGAACGCUGGCGGCAGGCCUAACACAUGCAAGUCGAGCGGUAGAGAGGUGCUUGCAUCUCUUGAGAGCGGCGGACGGGUGAGUAAUGCCUAGGAAUCUGCCUAGUGGUGGGGGAUAACGUUCGGAAACGGACGCUAAUACCGCAUACGUCCUACGGGAGAAAGCGGGGACCUUCGGGCCUCGCGCCAUUAGAUGAGCCUAGGUCGGAUUAGCUAGUUGGUGAGGUAAUGGCUCACCAAGGCGACGAUCCGUAACUGGUCUGAGAGGAUGAUCAGUCACACUAGGAACUGAGACGACGGUCCAGACCUCCGUACGGGAGGCAGCGAGGUAGGGAAUAGUGGACAAGUGGGACGAAAGCCUGACUCCAGCCAGUCGCCGCGUGU
rnacentral:rRNA from 1 species